rnacentral:rRNA from 1 species
UACGUAUGGUGCAAACGUUGUUCGGAAUCACUGGGCUUAAAGAGCACGUAGGCGGUUGAGAAAGUCUGAUGUGAAAUCCCUCGGCCCAACCGAGGAACUGCAUCAGAAACUUCUUAGCUAGAGUGUAGGAGGGGAGAGUGGAAUUCCUGGUGGAGCGGUGAAAUGCGUAGAUAUCAGGAGGAACGCCGGCGGCGAAAGCGACUCUCUGGCCUACUACUGACGCUGAGGUGCGAAAGCUAGGGGAGCGAACGGGAUUAGAUACCCCCGUA